GACGAACGCUGGCGGCGUGCUUAACACAUGCAAGUCGAACGGAAAGGCCCUGCUUUUGUGGGGUGCUCGAGUGGCGAACGGGUGAGUAACACGUGAGUAACCUGCCCUUGACUUUGGGAUAACUUCAGGAAACUGGGGCUAAUACCGGAUAGGAGCUCCUGCUGCAUGGUGGGGGUUGGAAAGUUUCGGCGGUUGGGGAUGGACUCGCGGCUUAUCAGCUUGUUGGUGGGGUAGUGGCUUACCAAGGCUUUGAAGGGUAGCCGGCCUGAGAGGGUGACCGGCCACAUUGGGACUGAGAUACGGCCCAGACUCCUACGGGGGGCAGCAGUGGGGAAUAUUGCACAAUGGGCGGGAGCCUGAUGCAGCAACGCCGCGUGCGGGAUGACGGCCUUCGGGUUGUAAACCGCUUUCGCCUGUGACGAAGCGUGAGUGACGGUAAUGGGUAAAGAAGCACCGGCUAACUACGUG
rnacentral:rRNA from 1 species